AUGAAUCUCAUCUGCAGGAAGAUGAAUCCACUGUGGUUCUUCCUCUUCGUGGUGUCAGCGCCCAGAGGUGUCCUGUCCGAGGUGCAGCUGCAGGAGUCGGGACCCAGCCUGGUGACGCCCUACCAGACCCUCUCCCUCACCUGCACCGUCUCUGGAGACUCAUUAUCCAACUUUAAUGUCGACUGGGUCCGACAGCCUCCAGGAAAGGGGUUGGAGUGGCUUGCUGAGAGCAGUUAUAAAGGAAACACGUAUUAUAACCCAAGUCUUAAGUCCCGGCUCAGCAUCACCAGGGACACGUCCAAGAGCCAAGUCUACUUAUCACUGAGCAGCCUGACAACUGAAGACACAGCCGUGUAUUACUGUGUGAGAGACACACAGCGAGGGGAAGUCAGUGUCCUGUCCCAGGUGCGGAUGCAGGAAUCGGGUCCAGAACUAUUGAAGACCCUCCCGCUCACCCACUCAGUCUCUGGAUUCUCCAUCACAAACCGUGCGGACUGCUGGGACAGGAUACCUCAGUCCCCAGGGAAAGGGCUGUCGUGA